ACCAUCCAGGACCUGCGGGACAAGAUUCUUGGUGCCACCAUUGAGAACUCCAGGAUUGUCCUGGAGAUCGACAAC
rfam:Chlorocebus sabaeus isolate 1994-021 chromosome 17, whole genome shotgun sequence.